GAGGGGUUUUAAACUUUACGUAUUGAAUUAUGACAAGACAAGCGACAGAAAGUGAGCAAGAGUUAAUUAUGUGACAGGGAGAGAAAGUGCCACUGUGCAGCAAUCCUUUCAAAGGCAAACAGAAAUAUUUAUAGACUCAGGACUGCACAACUUGCUGCGCUCUGACUCGAGAUGUGUUACUGAUUCACGGGGCAGCACUUUUGGAUGGGGCUCUGGUGUGGACCACAGCUCUGCUGAAAGCAACAACACUGUGAGAGAGUGGAGCAAGUCGAGGAGGCUUUGGAGAAGAAUAUGAAUUAUCUCACCCAGAGAACAAAGCAUAGAUGGACCCUGAGCACUGAGGGAAAUUGCACAACAACGUGCAGGCUGAACGGACAAGCAUUUAAUCAGCCAAGUUGGAUGGAGGAGCACAGGUACCACUGAGACUCGUGGGACAACUCUGCAACGAGCAAGAACAUUAAAGGCUGCUAUAAAGAAACAAGCUUCUGUGCCCUCAGAUGGACAGAAUUAUAAAAAUCCCCACA
rnacentral:lncRNA from 1 species